AGUCCAGGUGUGGAAGAUAGAAAACUUACUGAUGGCAAAGAUGUCUGGUUUUCACCCAAAAGAACAAGGCAUUUUUUUCUCAGUUCAGAAACUAAGACAGAAGUCUGGAGUCCAGAAAAUACUUUGGCUAAACUACUCUAAAAGAAAUUUUCUUGUGAACAUUGGAUGAAAUAUGAAACAUCCUCAGGUUUCCGGCGCUGGAAGGCCUCUGACAGCAAAACGAGGCCAGGGAGGCACCACACACAUCAAUCCGGAACCUGAUUGUCUGCAGAGGCCUUUACAGAAGGCCUCUGACAAUGAAACGGAGGCCAUGGGUGAACACAUACCAGUGGCGGCAAGCGGCCGCAGACGAAAUGGGCCUGCAACGCAGGCAGGGUGUCAAGGUGUGUGAGGCCUGGCUUCGUGGCUGUUCUCCAGAGCUGUUCCAUGAUCUGAUGAUCAGAAGACAUGUUUGGUUUAUGCUGUUCUGAUGCUACCUACUGUAUAAGCCUCUGUGCACUGUAACUCACAUUUUGCACUUUGAAUCCUGAUCUCUACAGAGUCCUAGUAAAUAUCAGCUCUGCUUUACAAACAACACGAAUGUUGGUUAAAUAUAUUUUGAUGUUUCAAAUUUGGAAAAUUUUAAUCCACUGCUAAAGAAAGUCUAACACUUCUUCUGGCCCUUGUUGGUGCUCUCUGUACCUCGGUCUCUCAGGGAGAUGCUUGACUUCCUCUCAGCCCCAAGAGACUGGCUAGCCCAUGAAAUGAGAGAGAGAAAGAGAACGAGAGACAGAGAAAAUGAGAGAAAGAGAGAGAGAAAGAGACAGAGAGAGAGAGAGAACGAGAGAGAGAGAGAGAGAGAGAGAGAAUCAGGAGAAUGAGAGAGUGAGAGAGAAUGAGAAUGAGAGACAGAGAGAGAGAGAGAGAGAGAGAGAAUGAAAGAGAGAAUCAGAGAGAAUGAGAGACAGAAUGAAAGAGAGAAUCAGAAUGAGAGAGCGCAGGUGGGAGAGAGAGAGAGAGAGAGACAGAUGAGAGAGAGAAAUGAGAAGGAGUGGGAAAGAGAGGGGAGAGAAAGAGAGAGGAGGGAGAGUACAUGAAGGACCCCAUCCCGUCACUGGGAGUCCAGGCACUUCAGCAAGCGGCAUGCUGGAUUCGUAUUAGUGAUCCACGGGAUUUAAAAUUAUAAACUUGGUGGUCCCUGAGGUGCAAAAGGUUGGGGACCCCUGCUCCAGAGGAAUUAUUGUUCGCUUAGCAAGCUAUGCUAGGGUAAUCCUUUCUCUACUUUAUGUCAGUGAUUGCUAAGGAAUCAAAAAUGAAGCCUUUGCACACAUUUGCAAAAUCUCAACAGAGUCUGAAAUCUGCUUCAUUGUUUGGGGAAGUUCACAGUUUAGAGGACCAAUCUACACAAUAUCGGCCUCUUUCGGGGGCUGAGGAUUUUUUUAAAAUUAUAUCUUUAGCAGCUUCUCUGACCUUGUUUGUCAUAACUUCUUUGGACUAAUCCUCUUCUGAGUAGGAAGAAGAGCAGGAGCUGACCAAAGGAUUUGGAGAAUCUGAUACAGCAGUGCCAUACUUAGCAUGACAAUCUUUAUAGAACAAUCUUAUAGCAUCAUUAUAUAUUACAAUAUAUAAUGACUUGACUUUGGGUUUCUAAGCCUUGAUCGAUUCCUGGAAUGAUUAUUUCAGUUUGGUGGCACCAUCAUAUUCACCUCUGAAUAUUAUCAAUAUUGAAUUCUUUGUUUUACCUUCAACUGGAAACUGAUCUGUUUGAAACUAAGGACAAGAUUGAUAUAAAUUGUAUCACAACCAUAUACCCUGCUCCUAAUAGCCCUCAUCAAUGUAACUAUAUGAAUAUGGUUCACAAGAUAGCAAAAAUAGUUAAGAGAAUGUGAUUAGCUCCAUCAAGAUGCAGAAUCUAUGAUUACAAAACCUGGGCAAUAGUAUUUUUCCAUUUUGAGAUAAUAUUCUGUUCCUUAAUAUUUAUAUAAAGCUGCUAAAACUGAUACUUAGCCCUGUUGUUCUUUAUUACCUAAGAAGCAGUUAAUGUCUGUUAAGAACCCUCUCUAUUGUACCCUCUCUAAGAAGCAGAGAGGGUACAAUAUGUCCAAAAAGCAUUUCCAUAAUAGCAAAUUCAAUGUUCAUUUUAAGGAAGAAAAAUGUAUUUGCAUAAUAUAUUGUUUUAAUUAAUCAUUAGAAACUAGAAGGCAUAAUUGUAACUUUUAAGAGCUAUGAUAAGAGCAUUUAUCGGUUGUACAUCAAUAGGUUUAAACUGCUUCAUGUUAGUGUUUAAUGCAAGUUAAAAGAAUUUAGCUAAAUAGAAAGCCAAACGGAAGCACCAAUUUUAUAUAAGCCGUAGUUCAGACUCCUAUCACAAUUUUGUAAAAAAAAUGGAAAAUAUAUCAAGAUGCAUUUGGGUCAGAGUUAUUUACAGUUCUGGUGAAGUUAUCUUUAUAUCAACAAGUGGCAACAUCUGGCCAGUUUUGUUGCAGGGACGGUCCUGGUUAAUAUUUGGAUGUGAAGCCAUCAAAAAAUUCUGGGUGUGUAAGGUAGAUUGAGAUAUGAUAUAUAGAGAAUACAAACAUUUAUCUAUAUUUCAUUUUCCCUUGGAACCCUGCUAUGCCAUUAUUACUAGCUGGCCAGAAAAAUGGGAGCAAAGGGAAGAACAAGAUAAAGAGAGCUGAAGAAUUCAGAUGAAACUUUCAACUGGCUCCAUUUACAGCAAAUAAACAAAAACAAACUACAAGAAAUACCUUUUACUCAUUUUUUUCUUCCCUUGAGAAAGGAACUGAUCUUUCUAAACCAUAAGGAAAGAUAAGCUAGAACAAAGUGUGAAAAAAGUUUUGUGAGAAGCAGAAGAUAGCAUGACCUUGUAUACAGUAUAAACCGGUGUUUUUCAACCUCAGCAAACUGGCUUAGGUUUCUUAUUUCCAGGAAAUCUUACUGUUGCUUUAUAUUGUUCUAUCUCAUUUUCCAUGUCUGUUUUAUUCUUUAAUCUAUCCAUUUACAUUUCAGAGCUCUGGACUCAAUAUUCUUAUACACAGUCAAUCUAUUUUCCUUUUUACCCCAUCUCAGCUGCUACUUUUUGAGCCUAUCUUCCCUCUAGUCCUUCCCAUUACUUUGCCCCACAGUUCCUUGCAUGGUGGCAUGUAUUCUGGCCCUUGUGAAGAAAAAGAUUGCCAAUCCCUAUUGCCAAACCCUAUUGCAGAUGCUAAGGGAGAGGGUGAACCCCUUGAUGCGCCUAUAUUGCAAGGGCUUAGGCAAGACCACUGCCCCCCCCAACAGUGACUGUAACCAGCCCUGGAGGAGGAAGAACAUUGUGUCCCCCACUUCUAAAUCUUAGUGGUACUAAAAGUUGUUGAGAAAGUCCAAGAUAGAUUCACCCUGUAUCCUAGUCCUACCAGAGAUCAUCCACAAGCAUGAUCAAUGUCACGUUAGUAGUAUAUUCUGGUCUGAAACCCAAAUGAAAAAUGCUCAGAUAAUCAGCUUUCUCUAGGGGCUUCUGAAGCUGAAACUCAACCAUCUUAUCAACAACUUUCACAAAAAUGGGAAAUGUGCAGACAAGAUGAAAGUUGUCCAGUAUCAGUGUAUCCGGAGAUAUAGUGAUACUGGACAACUUCCUCCUCUUUAAGAUCCUCUUAAAGAGGAGGAAGACCAAUUCUUUCAGCAGUGCUCUUCAGAUAUCUUCUGCCAUUUAAUCCCGAGUUCCUCUAACAAAUAAGAGAAACUCCAUGAUCCAUGAAACCAAGGACUCAGUUAAACUGUGCAUCAGAUUCUCAGAAUUAACCACAAGCUAUAACCCCCAGUGGUUUAUUACACAAUUAAAAAUAAGUAAACAUGGAAAAAAUUAGUCAGAAUAAAAGCAACAGUUGGUAAAAAAUUGCAACCUCAUCAACACAUGCUGUGGAGAGAAAACAUGGAAAUUUUGAUUAAGAAUACUGAGACAGAUUUGGAGACUUCUCUUUUUAGAAAAUCUUACCCUCAUGAAAACAAAUCAAACACUUACAUACAUGUUAAAUCAAAUUCAUAGCAGAUAAAACUAUUUUAAAAGUUCGUAAUAGAAAGGAUGCAGUUUGGAGACUAUUUUAUACAAGCAAUUAAAGCAAUAUAUCAGAAACAGACAGCACAGAUAAUAAUUAAUGGUAGUUUAACAGAAUCUUUCAGAAUUGAAAAAGGUACAAGGCAAGGAUGUCCCUUGUUCCCAUUAUUGUUUAUUUUAACUUUAGUAAUUUUAUUAAAUAAAAUACAUGGCUCAAAUCAAAUAACAGGAAUAAAAAUUAGACAGCAGGAUUAUAGAUUAAGAGCGUUUGCGGAUGACUUGGUUGUUACUUUAACUCAACCUAUUCAGUCAGCUAUAUACUAAAAAGAGAUAAUUAAUCAAUAUGGUAAGGUAUCUGGUUUUAAAGUUAAUCAACAGAAGACAAAGAUGAUAAUUAAAAAUAUGAACAUACAUCAAAAAGAAGAAUUAGAGUUACAGGACAUGAAAUUGUUAAAAAAGUUAAAUACUUAGGAGUAUAUAUUACAGCUUCAAAUGUGAAAUUAUAUAAAAAUAAUUAUGAGGUGUUGUGGCAGAAGGUACAGAAGGAAAUGGAGAAUUGGAAGAAAUUACAAUUAUCUUCGCUGGGAAGAAUAGCAGCAAUUAAAAUGAAUGUUUUGCCUAGGUUUUUAUUUUUAUUUCAAAUGAUACCAGUACUUAAAAAGGAUGUAAAUUUGCGGGAAUGGCAGAAAGGGAUUAGCAACUUUAUUUGGAUGGGUAAAAAAACGAGAAUAAAGCGAAAAAUAAUGCAAGAUACAUGUGAAAGAGGGGGGUUAAAAAUGCCUAAUUUGAAAUUAUAUUAUGAAGCAGUUGUUUUGUCAUUGAUUAGCGAUUGGUUUAAUUUAACGGAAGAAAGAAUUUUGAAUAUAGAAGUUCAUGAUUUGUUUUAUGGAUGGCAUGCUUAUUUAGUAGAUAAUACUUUCAAAAGUAAUAUUCUUAGGAAUGCUUUGUUAAGGGUUUGGAAAAAGUAUCAAUAUAAAUUAGAUAAUAAGAUACCUAUAUGGACAAUCCCCAGCCAUGCGAUAGAGAAUAUAAAUAUAGAACAAAAACAAAAGGGGACUGCAUACAAAGACCUUUUUUUGUGGAAAAGGGUAAAUUACAACUGAAAUCUUUAAAUAUAUUGAAACAAGAAGGGAAAAAUUACACAUGGUUUCAGUAUGGACAAUUGCAAUCUAUAUGGAGUGCGGACCAGAAAAGUGGUAUUGCGCAAAUUGAGGAAAAUUUGGUAAAACAAAUUAGAGAUCAAAGUCAAAUGCAUAUUAAAAGAUUAUACAAUGCUUUGAUAGAAAUAGAUUCAAAAACGGAAUUAGUUAAAGAUUGUAUGAUAAAAUGGACACAAAAUAUUCAACAACCUAUAAUGUUGGAAACGUGGGAGAAAAUCUGGGUUAGGAAUGUUAAAUUUACUCAAGCACAAAAUUUAAGAGAAAUUUUUUAUAAAUGUUUUAUAGAUGGCAUUUAGAUGCUAAGAAGUUGGCAUGUAUGUAUUCGAAUGUGCAACCCAAAUGUUGGAAAUGUGAUUGUGAAGAUGCUACUUAUUAUCAUAUAUGGUGGACUUGUAAAAAAAUUAAAUUGUUUUGGAUUAAAAUAUGGUGGAUUAUGCAGAACAUUUUGAAAAAGAAGAUAAAGUUUACGCCACAACUGUUUUUACUAGGCAUAAUCACGGAUUGUACAGUAAUAGAGACUAAAUUGAUAUUGAACUUAAUAUCAGCAGCGAGACUUUUGGUGGCACAACAUUGGAAGAAAGAAGAACUGCCUACAAUUGAAGAAUGGACACUUAAAGUUUCAAACUUAGCAGAAAUGGCAAAAAUUUCUGCAUAUUUGAAAGACUACUCACAAGAACGAUACAUAGUGGAAUGGAGAAAAUGGAUUGAUUAUGUUCAAAAUAAGUAUCAGACCAAAAAGUAUCAAAUAGCAUAUGAGUGAUGGUAGGGAUUGUUUUGUA